GGGCCCGUAGCUCAGUUGGAUAGAGCAUCUGCCUUCUAAGCAGGUGGUCGUGAGUUCGAAUCUCACCGGGCCCA
rnacentral:tRNA from 1 species